rnacentral:rRNA from 1 species
ANNNGCNACGCUGAACAAGCAACUUGGAGGAUGUAUAGCAACUGCUAGUUGCACUAAAAACUUUAGUGUAAAAUCAACUUAGUUGAAUAAAAUUCUGGAUAGAAUUAUGAUAAUGACAUUAUCUGUCCAUAAGUCUUGACCAAAUUACGUGCCAGCAGUCGCGGUAAUACGUAGAAGACAAGUGUUAUUCAUCUUUAAUAGGUUUAAAGGGUACUUAGACGGUAAAUCAAGCCUUAAAAAGGGACUAAUUUGCUAGAGUUUUAUGUGAAAAAGUAUUAAAGUACUGCUGGUGUAGAGAUGAAAUUCUGUCAUACCUUGAAUGGCACAGGUUAAGGCGAAAGCAUCUUUUUAUGUAAAAACUGACGUUGAAGGACGAAGGCUUUGUGUCUCGAACAGGAUUAGAUACCCUAGUAGUCUAAGCAGACAAUGAUGAAUGUCAUAGAUUAGAUGUAAUUUGAUCUAUAAAUGAAAGUGUAAGCAUUCCACCUCAAGAGUAAUUUGGCAACAUUGGAACUGAAAUCAUUAGACCGUUUCUGAAACCAGUAGUGAAGUAUGUUGUUUAAUUUGAUAAUCCGCAAAAAACCUUACCACUCUAUAUUUGAAUAGAUAUAUUUUAUCAUACAAGCGUUGCACGGCUGUCUUCAGUUAAUGUCGUGAGACUUUGGUUAGUUCCAUAAAAUUAACGUAAACCCUUACUUUAUUUACUAAUAAAGUAGUUCACCGCUAUAUUGGAUCUCGAUAACAGGAUCAAGACAACAUCAUGACCUAAAUUUGU